CUACGGGAGGCAGCAGUGGGGAAUCUUGGACAAUGGGCGCAAGCCUGAUCCAGCCAUGCCGCGUGUGUGAUGAAGGCCUUAGGGUUGUAAAGCACUUUCGCCAGGGAAGAUAAUGACGGUACCUGGAUAAGAAGCCCCGGCUAACUCCGUGCCAGCAGCCGCGGUAAUACGGAGGGGGCUAGCGUUGUUCGGAAUUACUGGGCGUAAAGCGCACGUAGGCGGUUUUCCAAGUUGGGGGUGAAAUCCCGGGGCUUAACCCCGGAACUGCCUCCAAAACUGGAUCACUCGAGUCCGAGAGAGGUGAGUGGAAUUCCCAGUGUAGAGGUGAAAUUCGUAGAUAUUGGGAAGAACACCAGUGGCGAAGGCGGCUCACUGGCUCGGUACUGACGCUGAGGAGCGACAGCGUGGGGAGCAAACAGGAUUAGAUACCCUGGUAGUCCACGCCGUAAA
rnacentral:rRNA from 1 species